rnacentral:rRNA from 1 species
GACGAAAGUGGCAAGCGUUAUUCGGAUUUACUGGGCAUAAAGCGCGCGUAGGCGGCUUGGCAAGUCGGGGGUGAAAGCCCGCAGCUCAACUGCGGAACUGCCUUCGAUACUGCCGGGCUUGAGGGCGGGAGGGGUGAUUGGAACUCCAGGUGUAGCGGUGAAAUGCGUAGAUAUCUGGAGGAACACCGGAGGCGAAGGCGAAUCACUGGACCGCUUCUGACGCUGAGGCGCGAAAGCUAGGGGAGCAAACAGG